rnacentral:rRNA from 1 species
GAUGAACGCUGGCGGCGUGCUUAACACAUGCAAGUCGAACGGAAAGGCCCAAGCUUGCUUGGGUACUCGAGUGGCGAACGGGUGAGUAACACGUGGGUGAUCUGCCCUGCACUUCGGGAUAAGCCUGGGAAACUGGGUCUAAUACCGGAUAGGACGAUGGUUUGGAUGCCAUUGUGGAAAGUUUUUUCGGUGUGGGAUGAGCUCGCGGCCUAUCAGCUUGUUGGUGGGGUAAUGGCCUACCAAGGCGUCGACGGGUAGCCGGCCUGAGAGGGUGUACGGCCACAUGGGGACUGAGAUACGGCCCAGACUCCUACGGGAGGCAGAAGUGGGGAAUAUUGCACAAUGGGCGCAAGCCUGAUGCAGCGACGCCGCGUGGGGGAUGACGGCCUUCGGGUUGUAAACUCCUUUCGCUAGGGACGAAGCGUUUUUGUGACGGUACCUGGAGAAGAAGCACCGGCUAACUACGUG